rnacentral:ncRNA from 1 species
GUUAUCAUGAAAGGCAGAGGGAUUAGACCCAAUGAAGCCUUGGCAACCUCUCACUUUUGAGAAAGGUGCUACAUUCUACCUGUAUUGAA